AGAGUUUGAUCCUGGCUCAGAUUGAACGCUGGCGGCAUGCCUUACACAUGCAAGUCGAACGGCAGCACGGACUUCGGUCUGGUGGCGAGUGGCGAACGGGUGAGUAAUAUAUCGGAACGUACCCUGGAGUGGGGGAUAACGCAGCGAAAGUUGCGCUAAUACCGCAUACGAUCUACGGAUGAAAGUGGGGGCUCGCAAGACCUCAUGCUCGUGGAGCGGCCGAUAUCUGAUUAGCUAGUUGGUAGGGUAAAAGCCUACCAAGGCAUCGAUCAGUAGCUGGUCUGAGAGGACGACCAGCCACACUGGGACUGAGACACGGCCCAGACUCCUACGGGAGGCAGCAGAGGGGAAUUUUGGACAAUGGGGGCAACCCUGAUCCAGCAAUGCCGCGUGAGUGAAGAAGGCCUUCGGGUUGUAAAGCUCUUUUGUCAGGGAAGAAACGGUGAAGGCUAAUAUCCUUUGCUAAUGACGGUACCUGAAGAA
rnacentral:rRNA from 1 species